ensembl:snRNA U6 U6 spliceosomal RNA
GUGCUUGCUUCAGCAGCACAUACAUUAAAAUUGAAGCUAUACAGACAACACUAGCAUGGCCCCCGCGCAAGGAUAACAUGCAAAUUCGUGAAGUAUUCCAUAUUUUU